UAGGGAAUCUUCCACAAUGGACGCAAGUCUGAUGGAGCAACGCCGCGUGAGUGAAGAAGGUUUUCGGAUCGUAAAGCUCUGUUGUUGGUGAAGAAGGAUAGAGGCAGUAACUGGUCUUUAUUUGACGGUAAUCAACCAGAAAGUCACGGCUAACUACGUGCCAGCAGCCGCGGUAAUACGUAGGUGGCAAGCGUUGGCCGGAUUUAUUGGGCGUAAAGCGAGCGCAGGCGGAAUGAUAAGUCUGAUGUGAAGGCCCACGGCUCAACCGUGGAACUGCAUCGGAAACUGUCAUUCUUGAGUGCAGAAGAGGAGAGUGGAAUUCCAUGUGUAGCGGUGGAAUGCGUAGAUAUAUGGAAGAACACCAGUGGCGAAGGCGGCUCUCUGGUCUGCAACUGACGCUGAGGCGCGAAAGCAUGGGUAGCGAACAGG
rnacentral:rRNA from 1 species